ACAGCAGCAGCCGCGGGAAUACAGAGGGUGCGAGCGUUAAUCGGAUUUACUGGGCGUAAAGCGUGCGUAGGCGGCUAAUUGAGUCGGAUGUGAAAUCCCCGAGCUUAACUUGGGAAUUGCAUUCGAUACUGGUUAGCUAGAGUGUGGGAGAGGAUGGUAGAAUUCCAGGUGUAGCGGUGAAAUGCGUAGAGAUCUGGAGGAAUACCGAUGGCGAAGGCAGCCAUCUGGCCUAACACUGACGCUGAGGUACGAAAGCAUGGGGAGCAAACAGGAUUAGAUACCCCCGUAGUCCCUGUCUCUUAUAC
rnacentral:rRNA from 1 species